rnacentral:lncRNA from 1 species
UUCUGUAAGUCUUUCAGAAAAAGAAACAAUAUAUGCAUCAAUUAACCUACUUUUAUUUUCUUUGGAACUAUAAAUUGUGGAUCAAAAUUCAAAUAGUAGUAAUUACUGGAUGAACUACCGGCCAGUUUAUAUUUUUCUUUCAUUUGUAGCAAGUUCAAUAAUACAUUUCAACAAAACAUUUUCUUAUAUAUUCAGGAGUUUUUCUUAGUAGCUAAAAAUUAUAAUUUGAAUUCAGAUCACACAAAGAAUAUACUAAAAGAAAAGCUAAGGUGAUUCCACAGUAAAAGAAGUAUCAUGUUUUAACAUAUAAAUAUGUAAUGUGAUGCUAAUUUUUCCAAAACCUAAGACAUCAACAUCCCCUAUUAUGUGAACCUUGUGUCUAGGUUCUGCCUUUUUCCAGACAUAGAACUUUAGAAACCUUAUUUGUUUCUGAGUUUCCUAAACUAUAAUUAUAUUGAGAGGUUUAAUUGUCAAAAUCAUCUGUGAAUACAUUGAUAGGGUUAAUUGUAAAAAAUAUUUAAAUGGCUUAGCCCUUCAGUGUUUCAGGAAACAACACCCCCAAAUAAAGGCCUCAGAAGCAGCUCUCUCUGACCUUCUCCUGCCCUCCUGUCUGGCCUCUCAUUCUCCUGCUGGGCUCACCAAGGUAACUAGAAUCCCUCUUGUCCAAGACAGAUCAUAGAAAUCAGAACCCCUUUCCUCUAAAGCCAGUCAUUAAAUAUGAUCUUUACUUUCCCCCACCUUUCUAUGUAAAAAUUGGCCGUAAAUAAAUUAUCUCAUCAGGUGUGGUGGCUCAGGUCUGUAAUCCCAGUAUGUUGGGAGGCAGAGACAGGAAUAUUACUUGAGCUCAGAAGUUCAAGACCAGCCUGGGCAAUAUAAUGAGACCUUUUCACAAAAAAAAAAAAAAAAAAAAAAAAAAAAAAAAAAAAAAAAAAUUAAAAAAUUAGCCAGGUAUGGUGGGGCAUGCCUGUUGUCUCAGAUAGUUGGCAGGCUGAGGUAGGAGAAUCCCUUAAGCCCACUGAGCUCCAGCCUGGUUGACAGAGUGAAACCUCAUCUCUAAAAACAAGAAAAGUUGAAAGUAAAAGAGAAAAAAGAAGAGAAAUAGUCUGGCCUAACUUAUUUGAUUGUAGGUCAUAAAAACCCCAUUCCAGAGAGGGCCUUGCCCCACACCCAGAAGGAAAGAAUGUGGCACGCAGAGGCCAAGAAAAAUCUAAACAAACAGACCUUGUUGUGUUUCAUUACCCAGUCUUUUAGCAUUAGAUUAUACCCUUGUCCUCCAAUAAUAUUUCUCCAUGGCUUUUCAUAAUUUGUUUAACCUAAGCAUAAAAACGGACAGUUUCCCCUGUAUCUUUGAGUCUUCAUUCUGAAGGCUUCCAUGUCACCUGAAAUUAUGAUCAAAUAAAUGUGUAUGCCAUUUCUCCUAUUAAUCUGACCUUUGUCAGAUGAUGUUCAGCAAACUGUCAGAGCGUGAAGGGAAAGUUUCCCCUGGCCCCUACAGUUCAGUGACUAGUCCUUAGCAAACACUUGAAAAGUAUUUAAAAUCAAAACAAAACAAAAAUCAAAUACAAAAGGCCUUUAGAAAUGUAACAAUAACUAUUUAUGGCAAGUUAUUGAAUUGAUAGGGAAACUCAAAGUGAGGAAAAAGAAAAGGAAAAUUCAAUUAGGUAAACAGUUAAGGCUGAGAGAAGUAGCCUGCCUGAAAAACCACAGCUACAGGCAAAAAUAGAGCAGCCCGGGGAAAACUCAAGGUGCACCUGCACAGAUAAGCAGGCAGAGUCCAGCACAGAAGCCUUUUGCUCUUUGUGUGAUUAGUGAGCUCCCAGGAAAAAGUUUCCUCCCCUUUUCAGCCAUAUACACAGUGGGCUCAGUGGGAACUUACACAGGGAGGAGGGGGGCUUACCUAGAGCUAACCCACAGUUAUACAAACAAGAGAAGCUGUGCAUUGUGCCUACCUUGAGACAUACCCACAAGUACAUACAUAAGAGGGAAUCAUACAGACAGCUUUCCAGGUCUCAAAAAUAACUAUAGAAUGUACUGGGAACGCAACAUCUUAAGACUAUGAGGAACUGGCCAGAGCAGUCUGGUCUUGGUUUGUCUCACCUAGAAACAGAAUAUUUUUCAUUUAUUAAGUGUGGCAUGUCAUGUGACCCCUAGGACAUAAAACCCAAGGUGGGCUGCAUUUUGGGGUCCUCCUAUUGUGGUGCAAGUGGGGACACAUGCAGACUGAUUCCAUCUGUGCUGGGAAGCUUUUCUGAGCCUUGAGAAACUGGCUCAAAAUGAAACCUAGGCUUCUGUUUCCCCUUGCUGCCUAUCUUUAAGCAAUAAAUCUGCUUCUUGUAAUUUGUGUGAGUUUUCUGUCUCACAGGACCUGUGCAAGUGAUAAAAAUUGGCAUGGUAACCAGUGCACAGUGAACCUGCUUUCAUUCCUUGAAAUAAUACUAUAUCUUCAUGAACAG